rnacentral:lncRNA from 1 species
AAUUCAUUGGCUUAUAAAUGUUAUUUACAGCUAAGUAACUGGAUGUGAUCACCAAGGAAUGACUCCUGGGCUACUUCAAAGCUGAGGGGUCAGAUGGCACAAAGCAGACAGAGGAGUGUCCAGGGGAUAGGAAGAGGACUGAAAGGAAAUGGAUUGCCUGAAACCAAGCUAAGAAGAGUUUCAUAGCGUUUGAAUCCACCUGGAAUAAACUGAUUGACCACUGACAAAAAUCUGGACUGUCACUUCUUCUUGGAGAACCACACUAGAACUUUGCGAUAAGAGUGAUCUCUAAGAUGUAUUGAUACUACCCUUUGGUGUUUUGAUUUAUAUAUAUAAUUUUAUGUCUUCAUAUAUAUCUCAGGCUUUUGAUAACAUCGAAAAUGUGAAGAGGCAUAAUCUAGGUUUCUAAAAUAGUAAUUCCUUCCCAUAGCCUUUGAUCUAUAUCUAGUCCUUUGGAUACAGUUGGGGGCCUUGAAAAUUCUUUUCUGAUUGCUUCCGUUACCUUAACGAAAUAGGAAACAAAGUCAUCAGCUCCAAGUGAGAAUGUGGGAGAGAUGUUAGAGGUUUGAAGAAAGGGGAAAAAGUGUGAAAGAGUUUUCUAGGCCAGUGGAAGAGUGAAUGGGCUAUGGAAGUAUAGUACGAU